rnacentral:Y_RNA from 1 species
GGCUGGUCUGAUGGUAGUGGGUUAUCAGAAUUUAUUAACAUUAGUGUCACUAAAGUUGGUAUUCAACCCCCACUGCUAAAUUUGACUGGCUUUAA